rnacentral:rRNA from 1 species
AAAGGCGAAAAGAACCCCGGCGAGGGGAGUGAAAAAGAACCUGAAACCGUGUACGUACAAGCAGUGGGAGCACCCUUUGGGGUGUGACUGCGUACCUUUUGUAUAAUGGGUCAGCGACUUAUAUUCUGUAGCAAGGUUAACCGAAUAGGGGAGCCGGAGGGAAACCGAGUCUUAAUUGGGCGUUAAGUUGCAGGGUAUAGACCCGAAACCCGGUGAUCUAGCCAUGGGCAGGUUGAAGGUUGGGUAACACUAACUGGAGGACCGAACCGACUAAUGUUGAAAAAUUAGCGGAUGACCUGUGGCUGGGGGUGAAAGGCCAAUCAAACCGGGAGAUAGCUGGUUCUCCCCGAAAGCUAUUUAGGUAGCGCCUCGUGAAUUCAUCUCCGGGGGUAGAGCACUGUUUCGGCUAGGGGGCCAUCCCGGCUUACCAACCCGAUGCAAACUGCGAAUACCGGAGAAUGUUAUCACGGGAGACACACGGCGGGUGCUAACGUCCGUCGUGAAGAGGGAAACAACCCAGACCGCCAGCUAAGGUCCCAAAGUCAUGGUUAAGUGGGAAACGAUGUGGGAAGGCCCAGACAGCCAGGAUGUUGGCUUAGAAGCAGCCAUCAUUUAAAGAAAGCGUAAUAGCUCACUGGUCGAGUCGGCCUGCGCGGAAGAUGUAACGGGGCUAAACCAUGCACCGAAGCUGCGGCAGCGACACUGUGUGUUGUUGGGUAGGGGAGCGUUCUGUAAGCCUGUGAAGGUGUGUCGUGAGGCAUGCUGGAGGUAUCAGAAGUGCGAAUGCUGACAUAAGUAACGAUAAAGCGGGUGAAAAGCCCGCUCGCCGGAAGACCAAGGGUUCCUGUCCAACGUUAAUCGGGGCAGGGUGAGUCGACCCCUAAGGCGAGGCCGAAAGGCGUAGUCGAUGGGAAACGGGUUAAUAUUCCCGUACUUGGUGUUACUGCGAAGGGGGGACGGAGAAGGCUAUGUUGGCCGGGCGACGGUUGUCCCGGUUUAAGCGUGUAGGUGUGUGUUCCAGGUAAAUCCGGUUCACUUUAACACUGAGGCGUGACGACGAGGCACUACGGUGCUGAAGCAACAAAUGCCCUGCUUCCAGGAAAAGCCUCUAAGCAUCAGGUAACAUCAAAUCGUACCCCAAACCGACACAGGUGGUCAGGUAGAGAAUACCAAGGCGCUUGAGAGAACUCGGGUGAAGGAACUAGGCAAAAUGGUGCCGUAACUUCGGGAGAAGGCACGCUGACACGUAGGUGAAGUGAUUUACUCAUGGAGCUGAAGUCAGUCGAAGAUACCAGCUGGCUGCAACUGUUUAUUAAAAACACAGCACUGUGCAAACACGAAAGUGGACGUAUACGGUGUGACGCCUGCCCGGUGCCGGAAGGUUAAUUGAUGGGGUCAGCGCAAGCGAAGCUCCUGAUCGAAGCCCCGGUAAACGGCGGCCGUAACUAUAACGGUCCUAAGGUAGCGAAAUUCCUUGUCGGGUAAGUUCCGACCUGCACGAAUGGCGUAAUGAUGGCCAGGCUGUCUCCACCCGAGACUCAGUGAAAUUGAACUCGCUGUGAAGAUGCAGUGUACCCGCGGCAAGACGGAAAGACCCCGUGAACCUUUACUAUAGCUUGACACUGAACAUUGAGCCUUGAUGUGUAG